rnacentral:rRNA from 1 species
GUCGAGAAUCUUCCGCAAUGCGCGAAAGCGUGACGGAGCGACACCGCGUGAUGGAUGAAGUCCUUCGGGGCGUAAACAUCUUUUAUAAAGGAGGAAAUUUUUGACGUUACUUUAUGAAUAAGGGGCUCCCAAUCUCGUGCCAGCAGGAGCGGUAAUACGAGAGCCUCAAGCGUUAUCCGGAAUCAUUGGGCGUAAAGGGUGCGUAGGUGGUUUGAUUAGUCUCCCGUUAAAACUUCGAGCUUAACUCGAAAAGAGCGGGGGAAACGGUCAAACUAGAGUAUGUGAGAGGUGUGUGGAACUCAUGGUGUAGGGGUGAAAUCCGUUGAUAUCAUGGGGAACACCAAAAGCGAAGGCAGCACACUGGUACAUCACUGACACUGAGGCACGAAGCCUAAGGUAGCGAAUGUGAUUAGAUACCCUAGUAGUCC